CAUGUGUGUGUGUGUGUGUGUGUGUGUAUGUGUACAUAUAUAUAUGCACACGCACACACACACACACACACGUA